rnacentral:misc_RNA from 1 species
AAGUCGUAACAAGGUUUCCGUAGGUGAACCUGCGGAAGGAUCAUUAACACGUAUCCACGUAUCAACCAAUCGUGAACUCGUUUUCGCCCCUCCCUGCUGCGGGAAAUUGGACAGGUCGGACAGUUUUGAGUGGGACUCUUCGGAGUCGCGGUCCGACCUCAUUAGGGACAGCUUCGGUUGUCACGUACAAUUUUCUGCGGUCAGGCUUUUUCUUACUUUUCGAGGCUCCAUUCAAGCCUUGAUUAGUAGGAGUUUAUUCACAAAUUUCACCCCUUUUUGCUAGUUGACUUUUUUAUGUGGUGUUCGGCGAGAAUUUAUUCUUACUGCGCUCACACGUUUAAUUACUUGAACGUUAAAAAUACAACUCUUAGCAAUGGAUAUCUUGGUUCUC